rnacentral:sRNA from 1 species
AGAUGCGCAAACGCCCGAGUUUUCCCUGGUGCGCGGGUUCCGCCUUUGCAGUGCCCUCCACCCUUCCUGGUGUCUGACCCGCCUCCUUCCCAGGCCUUUUGUUCCUGUCCGGGAAAGCCGGCGUCCUGCCGCGCGAUGCACCUGCUCGGACUUCUUCCCAGAAGGGCCUGGGCUUCGCUGCUCAGCCAGCUCCUGCGACCGCCCUGGGCUUCGUGCACCGGGGCGGUCCGUUGCCAAAGCCAGGGUGAAGAGUCUUUGCAGGUUGGUGGUCAACAGGGUCAGAGAUGCCACAGGUCUGGCCAGUGUCCAGAGGAGCCACAUCUCACAUUCAUUCUUCUGCCAGGUUGCAGAGGCAGUGUUAACAUCCCAACUGAAAGCACAUCAAGAGAAACCAAAUUUUAUUAUCAAGACCCCAAAGGUAAUACUUUUUGCCUACCCUAUCCCAUUAGAGUGCCUUGGAGGACUGACCUCUGCCUUGCAUGUUUCUCUGACCCCUUUUAAUGUCCUUUACAGUAAAUUUUAAAAAUAUAUACUAUUCUUGAGAUACUAGGUGGGG